UUGGCCGGGCGACGGUUGUCCCGGUUUAAGCGUGUAGGUGUGUGUUCCAGGUAAAUCCGGUUCACUUUAACACUGAGGCGUGACGACGAGGCACUACGGUGCUGAAGCAACAAAUGCCCUGCUUCCAGGAAAAGCCUCUAAGCAUCAGGUAACAUCAAAUCGUACCCCAAACCGACACAGGUGGUCAGGUAGAGAAUACCAAGGCGCUUGAGAGAACUCGGGUGAAGGAACUAGGCAAAAUGGUGCCGUAACUUCGGGAGAAGGCACGCUGACACGUAGGUGAAGUGAUUUACUCAUGGAGCUGAAGUCAGUCGAAGAUACCAGCUGGCUGCAACUGUUUAUUAAAAACACAGCACUGUGCAAACACGAAAGUGGACGUAUACGGUGUGACGCCUGCCCGGUGCCGGAAGGUUAAUUGAUGGGGUCAGCGCAAGCGAAGCUCCUGAUCGAAGCCCCGGUAAACGGCGGCCGUAACUAUAACGGUCCUAAGGUAGCGAAAUUCCUUGUCGGGUAAGUUCCGACCUGCACGAAUGGCGUAAUGAUGGCCAGGCUGUCUCCACCCGAGACUCAGUGAAAUUGAACUCGCUGUGAAGAUGCAGUGUACCCGCGGCAAGACGGAAAGACCCCGUGAACCUUUACUAUAGCUUGACACUGAACAUUGAGCCUUGAUGUGUAGGAUAGGUGGGAGGCUUUGAAGUGUGGACGCCAGUCUGCAUGGAGCCGACCUUGAAAUACCACCCUUUAAUGUUUGAUGUUCUAACGUGGACCCGUUACCCGGGUUGCGGACAGUGUCUGGUGGGUAGUUUGACUGGGGCGGUCUCCUCCUAAAGAGUAACGGAGGAGCACGAAGGUUGGCUAAUCCUGGUCGGACAUCAGGAGGUUAGUGCAAUGGCAUAAGCCAGCUUGACUGCGAGCGUGACGGCGCGAGCAGGUGCGAAAGCAGGUCAUAGUGAUCCGGUGGUUCUGAAUGGAAGGGCCAUCGCUCAACGGAUAAAAGGUACUCCGGGGAUAACAGGCUGAUACCGCCCAAGAGUUCAUAUCGACGGCGGUGUUUGGCACCUCGAUGUCGGCUCAUCACAUCCUGGGGCUGAAGUAGGUCCCAAGGGUAUGGCUGUUCGCCAUUUAAAGUGGUACGCGAGCUGGGUUUAGAACGUCGUGAGACAGUUCGGUCCCUAUCUGCCGUGGGCGCUGGAGAACUGAGGGGGGCUGCUCCUAGUACGAGAGGACCGGAGUGGACGCAUCACUGGUGUUCGGGUUGUCAUGCCAAUGGCACUGCCCGGUAGCUAAAUGCGGAAGAGAUAAGUGCUGAAAGCAUCUAAGCACGAAACUUGCCCCGAGAUGAGUUCUCCCUGAGACUUUAGGUCUCCUGAAGGAACGUUGAAGACGACGACGUUGAUAGGCCGGGUGUGUAAGCGCAGCGAUGCGUUGAGCUAACCGGUACUAAUGAACCGUGAGGCUUAACCUU
rnacentral:rRNA from 4 species